AAUCCAUGCAUCGGACAUUUCUGAAGUAAUUCCUUAAAUCGUUCCCAAGCUUCAUAUAGUGUUUCAUCCUCUGAUUUUCGAAAAGACGUGAUGUCAUUUCUAAGCUU
rnacentral:snoRNA from 1 species